UGAGGCAUGCUGGAGGUAUCAGAAGUGCGAAUGCUGACAUAAGUAACGAUAAAGCGGGUGAAAAGCCCGCUCGCCGGAAGACCAAGGGUUCCUGUCCAACGUUAAUCGGGGCAGGGUGAGUCGACCCCUAAGGCGAGGCCGAAAGGCGUAGUCGAUGGGAAACAGGUUAAUAUUCCUGUACUUGGUGUUACUGCGAAGGGGGGACGGAGAAGGCUAUGUUAGCCGGGCGACGGUUGUCCCGGUUUAAGCAUGUAGGCUGAUUGUCCAGGCAAAUCCGGAUAAUCAAGGCUGAGGUGUGAUGACGAGGCACUACGGUGCUGAAGUAACAAAUGCCCUGCUUCCAGGAAAAGCCUCUAAGCAUCAGGUAACAUCAAAUCGUACCCCAAACCGACACAGGUGGUCAGGUAGAGAAUACCAAGGCGCUUGAGAGAACUCGGGUGAAGGAACUAGGCAAAAUGGUGCCGUAACUUCGGGAGAAGGCACGCUGGUGUGUAGGUGAAGUCCCUGCGGAUGGAGCUGAGACCAGUCGAAGAUACCAGCUGGCUGCAACUGUUUAUUAAAAACACAGCACUGUGCAAACACGAAAGUGGACGUAUACGGUGUGACGCCUGCCCGGUGCCGGAAGGUUAAUUGAUGGGGUUAUCCGUAAGGAGAAGCUCUUGAUCGAAGCCCCGGUAAACGGCGGCCGUAACUAUAACGGUCCUAAGGUAGCGAAAUUCCUUGUCGGGUAAGUUCCGACCUGCACGAAUGGCGUAAUGAUGGCCAGGCUGUCUCCACCCGAGACUCAGUGAAAUUGAACUCGCUGUGAAGAUGCAGUGUACCCGCGGCAAGACGGAAAGACCCCGUGAACCUUUACUAUAGCUUGACACUGAACAUUGAGCCUUGAUGUGUAGGAUAGGUGGGAGGCUUUGAAGCGUGGACGCCAGUCUGCGUGGAGCCAACCUUGAAAUACCACCCUUUAAUGUUUGAUGUUCUAACGUUGGCCCCUGACCGGGGUUGCGGACAGUGUCUGGUGGGUAGUUUGACUGGGGCGGUCUCCUCCCAAAGCGUAACGGAGGAGCACGAAGGUUAGCUAAUCCUGGUCGGACAUCAGGAGGUUAGUGCAAUGGCAUAAGCUAGCUUGACUGCGAGCGUGACGGCGCGAGCAGGUGCGAAAGCAGGUCAUAGUGAUCCGGUGGUUCUGAAUGGAAGGGCCAUCGCUCAACGGAUAAAAGGUACUCCGGGGAUAACAGGCUGAUACCGCCCAAGAGUUCAUAUCGACGGCGGUGUUUGGCACCUCGAUGUCGGCUCAUCACAUCCUGGGGCUGAAGUAGGUCCCAAGGGUAUGGCUGUUCGCCAUUUAAAGUGGUACGCGAGCUGGGUUUAGAACGUCGUGAGACAGUUCGGUCCCUAUCUGCCGUGGGCGCUGGAGAAUUGAGGGGGGCUGCUCCUAGUACGAGAGGACCGGAGUGGACGCAUCACUGGUGUUCGGGUUGUCAUGCCAAUGGCACUGCCCGGUAGCUAAAUGCGGAAGAGAUAAGUGCUGAAAGCAUCUAAGCACGAAACUUGCCCCGAGAUGAGUUCUCCCUGAGACUUUAAGUCUCCUGAAGGAACGUUGAAGACGACGACGUUGAUAGGCCGGGUGUGUAAGCGCAGCGAUGCGUUGAGCUAACCGGUACUAAUGAACCGUGAGGCUUAACCUU
rnacentral:rRNA from 1 species